ACUCCUACGGGAGGCAGCAGUCGAGAAUCUUCCGCAAUGGACGAAAGUCUGACGGAGCGACGCCGCGUGGAGGACGAAGGCCCUCGGGUUGUAAACUCCUGUCACGAGUUAAGAAGUCUGUAUGGCGAAUAGCUGUGCAGAUUGACGUAAGCUCGAGAGGAAGCACUGGCUAACUCUGUGCCAGCAGCCGCGGUAAUACAGAGAGUGCGAACGUUGUUCGGAAUUACUGGGCUUAAAGCGCGCGUAGGCGGCGUAACAAGUGUCGGGUGAAAUCCCACGGCUCACCCGUGGAACUGCCCGGCAAACUGUUAUGCAUAGAGUGUGGUAGGGGAGAACAGAACGUCAUGGUGGAGCGGUGAAAUGCGUAGAUAUCAUGAGGAAUACCGGUGGCGAAGGCGGUUCUCUGGUCC
rnacentral:rRNA from 1 species